GGGCUCCGUUUCGGUUUUGGUGUGAAACGAGAACGCUGCCAAGAUUGCAUUUAUGUGAUAAUGUGAUGCGUAAUGAACAGAUUUCAUAUUCAAGUUGUUACACGGGAGGUCUUUGUUGUGUAUUAUGGUAUUGUUGAAGUCUUUGUUGUGUAUGUGUGUUUUAUCCACGGACGCAAACAGCUGAAUCUCGCGUUCGUUGAGAACACGCCGUUUUAGCGUAAGUGCGUUAUACGAAGCCAUGGGCGCGUCGUAUCCCGUCGCCGUCUCGAUUUCGCUGUUGUUUUUAUUUUAACAAUAGUUUUCGCGUACCGCGUUUGUUAAUAGUAAUCGUUGAGGCCCUCGAUGUACGCACCGUUCGCUCAAAUAAUAACUACACCUACCGCAAUCACAACAUGUGAUGUUUGAGCAUGUCCUGACCACGAUGUUUAUUAUACACCAAAACUAUUUUCCCGACCGACCAUAACUUUGUGACACACACAACUAAACCGUGAUUGUGUACCACGUUCUGUUUUGAUGUUUUCCCGACCGACCAUGUAGGCUCAUUGAAUUGCAUAAAGUACACCCUGUCAAUCUGCCGCUGUGACCCUUGCGAUUUAUUUCUCCUUUUUUUGUGGGAAUAUGUUUUAUUAUUCAUUCAUUCUCCAACCCUUUCUUUCUCUCAACGGGGCCUUAUUAUAAUAAUUUUUUGGGUCGUAACCUCUUCUGCGCUGAAACACAAAGGCCCAGCGUUGUUGUGUCCAAUGCCUUUUUCUUUGAGACGUAUUCAAAAUUCACACUCCAUGACACAUUUCGGCUGUUAAUGGACUUCGAUCUAUCCGGAUAAAAAGCACAGAGGAUUUUUUUUUCCCCAGACCCGUUAAAAGCACGCUAAUGCUGCCACAUUAUCCUCGGUUCACAGGCGACCCCGGCUGUCGAAGGAGAGCUGGCACUGUAAAUGGUCCGCGUUAAUGUAUUCCUUUCACCCGGGAACCGUUGUUGAAUGAUAAUUUCACACAUAAUCUAGUAUAAAAACCCCACAGCCGUCCUGUCUGUAUGACACUUCCAUCUCGGUGCCGUUUCACCAGUCGAAGCUACUCGUUCGUUGGUUAUGGAUUCAGAUUCAGGCUGCGAUGUACACGAUGCGAGGUCUCUGGUCGACGAAUCGGUACUAAGUCAGGAUCCGGCUGUGGUCGAUGACACCCAGAACGCGUUGAUUGUACACUGUCCUACGUGUAAUCGACACGUUAACCCGGACGUUUCGUAUACGAUUGGUGAAUAUUCGCUUUCGAUGCUAUGUUUGUCCUGUAUAACAGGGCUUCUUCCAGUCGUCCUGUGUUGUCUGUGUCUGGAAAAAGAAGUGUGCAUGGAUGCGGUCUACAAGUGUCCCGAUUGUGGAACGAGGCUGAUCCCGGAUGAUGAUGACUUCUAAGUAUUGUAUGUGUAUUGUGUUCUAUUUGUUAAAUAAAAAAAAUACAUGUUCGUUAGCCAUUUCUUUUCAUAAAAAAAAAGGACAAAG